GAAGAUACCACUAACAGCCCAGGUUGUACUGACUCUGAUGGAAAUCGCCAUGAAUUUAACUCUGAUUGGGAGAACGAACAUGACAUAUGUGUCUGUGUGGAGUAUGGAAUCAUCUGUUGUCAACGAUUUGAUCACACCCAACCUGAACCCACCGCUGAAAUAUUUUAUGAUAACUUUGGAGCAUUCACUGAGAAUGACCUCGGAGAGACUGAAGAACCAUCCAUG